AUCCGACUGACGAGUUUUAAAUGGGACUAAACAAGCGUCUUGGAU
rnacentral:hammerhead_ribozyme from 1 species